GACGGUGGUCUAGUGGUUACAGCGUCCGCCUCGAAAGCGGUAGGUCGUGGGUUCAAUCUCCGAUCGAGUCA